rnacentral:tRNA from 1 species
GCCGAGGUGGCGGAACUGGUAGACGCGCAGGACUUAAAAUCCUGUGUCCGAUUAUCGGACGUGUGGGUUCGAGUCCCACCCCCGGCA